rnacentral:rRNA from 1 species
GGCAGCACGGGUGCUUGCACCUGGUGGCGAGUGGCGAACGGGUGAGUAAUACAUCGGAACGUACCUUAUCGUGGGGGAUAACGCAGCGAAAGCUGUGCUAAUACCGCAUACGCCCUGAGGGGGAAAGCGGGGGAUCGAAAGACCUCGCGCGAUUAGAGCGGCCGAUGCCUGAUUAGCUUGUUGGUGGGGUAAAAGCCCACCAAGGCGACGAUCAGUAGCUGGUCUGAGAGGACGAUCAGCCACACUGGGACUGAGACACGGCCCAGACUCCUACGGGAGGCAGCAGUGGGGAAUUUUGGACAAUGGGGGCAACCCUGAUCCAGCAAUGCCGCGUGAGUGAAGAAGGCCUUCGGGUUGUAAAGCUCUUUUGUCAGGGAAGAAACACCGGCUCUAACACAGUCCGGGAAUGACGGUACCUGAAGAAUAAGCACCGGCUAACUACGUGCCAGCAGCCGCGGUAAUACGUAGGGUGCGAGCGUUAAUCGGAAUUACUGGGCGUA